rnacentral:rRNA from 1 species
AUUGAACGCUGGCGGCAUGCCUUACACAUGCAAGUCGAACGGUAACAGGUCUUCGGAUGCUGCCGAGUGGCGCACGGGUGAGUAAUACAUCGGAACGUGCCUAGUAGUGGGGGAUAACUACUCGAAAGAGUGGCUAAUACCGCAUGAGAUCUACGGAUGAAAGCAGGGGAUCGCACGACCUUGUGCUACUAGAGCGGACGAUGGCAGAGUAGGUAGUUGGUGGGAUAAAAGCUUACCAAGCCGACGAUCUGUAGCUGGUCUGAGAGGACGAUCAGCCACACGGGGACUGAGACACGGCCCAGAAUCCUACGUGAGGCAGGAGUGGGAAAUUUUGGACAAUGGGCGCAAGCCUGAUCCAGCAAUGCCGCGUGCAGGACGAAGGCCUUCGGGUUGUAAACUGCUUUUGUACGGAACGAAAAGCCCUGGGUUAAUACCCUGGGGUCAUGACGGUACCGUAAGAAUAAGCACCGGCUAACUACGUGCCAGCCGCCGCCGUAAUAC